rnacentral:rRNA from 1 species
GCUUGACAUGCCGCGAGUAGGAAACUGAAAGGGGACCGACCGGUUCAGUCCGGAAGCGGAACAGGUGCUGCAUGGCUGUCGUCAGCUCGUGCCGUGAGGUGUUGGGUUCAGUCCCGCAACGAGCGCAACCCUCGCCCUCUGUUGCCAUCGGGUCAAGCCGGGCACUCUGAGGGGACUGCCAGCGACAAGUUGGAGGAAGGAGAGGAUGACGUCAAGUCAUCAUGGCCCUUAUGCCCAGGGCCACACACGUGCAACAAUGGCCGGUACAGACGGAAGCGAGACCGAGAGGUGGAGCAAAUCCGAGAAAGCCGGUCCCAGUUCGGAUUGAGGUCUGCAACUCGACCUCAUGAAGUCGGAAUCGCUAGUAAUCGCGUAUCAGCACGACGCGGUGAAUACGUUCCCGGGCCUUGUACACACCGCCCGUCACACCACGAAAGUCUGUUGUACCUGAAGUCGGUGCCCCAACCGGAAACGGAGGGAGCCGCCCAAGGUAUGGCCGGUAAUUGGGGUGAAGUCGUA